rnacentral:rRNA from 1 species
CACUCUAACGGGACUGCCCGCGAAAGCGGGAGGAAGGAGGGGACGACGUCUGGUCAGCAUGGCCCUUACGGCCUGGGCGACACACGUGCUACAAUGCCCACUACAAAGCGAUGCCACCCGGCAACGGGAGCUAAUCGCAAAAAGGUGGGCCCAGUUCGGAUUGGGGUCUGCAACCCGACCCCAUGAAGCCGGAAUCGCUAGUAAUCGCGGAUCAGCCAUGCCGCGGUGAAUACGGUUCCCGGGCCUU